AUGAGGUUUCUGCUACUUCUCCUGGUGGCGGCGUCAGCGGUGGUCGGGAGCGAUGCCUCGGCCAACCUGGGUGGCGUGCCUGGCAAGAGAUUAAAGAUGCAGUACGCCACGGGGCCGCUGCUCAAGUUCCAGAUUUGUGUUUCCUGAGGUUAUAGGCGGGUGUUUGAGGAGUACAUGCGGGUUAUUAGCCAGCGGUACCCGGACAUCCGCAUUGAAGGAGAGAAUUACCUCCCUCAACCAAUAUAUAGACACAUAGCAUCUUUCCUGUCAGUCUUCAAGCUAGUGUUAAUAGGCUUAAUAAUUGUUGGCAAGGAUCCUUUUGCUUUCUUUGGCAUGCAAGCGCCUAGCAUCUGGCAGUGGGGCCAAGAAAACAAGGUCUAUGCAUGUAUGAUGGUCUUUUUCUUGAGCAACAUGAUUGAGAACCAGUGUAUGUCAACAGGUGCAUUUGAGAUAACUUUGAAUGAUGUACCUGUGUGGUCCAAGCUGGAAUCUGGUCACCUUCCAUCCAUGCAACAGCUUGUUCAAAUUCUUGACAAUGAAAUGAAGCUCAAUGUGCAUAUGGAUUCAAUCCCACACCAUCGAUCAUAG